CCUACGGGGGGCAGCAGUGGGGAAUAUUGGGCAAUGGGCGAAAGCCUGACCCAGCAACGCCGCGUGAAGGAAGAAGGCUUUCGGGUUGUAAACUUCUUUUGACAGGGAAGAGCAGAAGACGGUACCUGUCGAAUAAGCCACGGCUAACUACGUGCCAGCAGCCGCGGUAAUACGUAGGUGGCAAGCGUUGUCCGGAUUUACUGGGUGUAAAGGGCGUGUAGCCGGGCUGACAAGUCAGAUGUGAAAGCCGGGGGCUCAACCCGCGAACUGCAUUUGAAACUGUUGGUCUUGAGUAUCGGAGAGGAAGGCGGAAUUCCUAGUGUAGCGGUGAAAGGCGUAGAUAUUAGGAGGAACACCAGUGGCGAAGGCGGCCUUCUGGACGACAACUGACGGUGAGGCGCGAAAGCGUGGGGAGCAAACAGGAUUAGAUACCCGAGUAGUC
rnacentral:rRNA from 1 species